AACGCGAAGAACCUUACCAGGGUUUGACAUCCUGGGAAUCUUUCCGAAAGGAAAGAGUGCCUUCGGGAAUCCAGUGACAGGUGUUGCAUGGCCGUCGUCAGCUCGUGUCGUGAGAUGUUUGGUUAAGUCCAUCAACGAGCGCAACCCUUAUAGUUAGUUGAAUUUCUCUAGCUAGACUGCCCCGGUAACGGGGAGGAAGGAGGGGAUGAUGUCAGGUCAGUAUUACCCUUACACCCUGGGCUACAAACACGCUACAAUGGCCGGUACAAAGGGCAGCUAAGUCGCGAGACGGAGCAAAUCCCAUCAAAGCCGGUCUCAGUUCGGAUAGCAGGCUGAAACUCGCCUGCUUGAAGCUGGAAUCGCUAGUAACGGUAGGUCAGCACACUACCGUGAAUACGUUCCCGGGCCUUGUACACACCGCACGA
rnacentral:rRNA from 1 species